rnacentral:lncRNA from 1 species
UUUAUUACAAACAUGAUAAAACACUAUUUGAUUUAGAACAAGCACCAAGAGCAUGAUAUGAAAGAUUAAGUAACUUUUUGAUAGAAAGUAAUAGUGAUAAAACUAUGUAUCAAAAAGAAAAAUUCUGAUAUCAUAAUUGCUCAAAUAUAUAUUGAUGACAUUAUUUGUGGUGCUACUAAUGAAGCUUUAUGUAAAAUUUUUACUAAGCUCAUGCAGGGUGAGUUCGAAAUGAGUAAAAUGGAUGAACUAACCUUUCCUCUCGAACUCCAAACUAAGACAAAUAAGAAAGGGGAUCUUCAUUGACCAAAGUAAGUUCACAAGAAUAUUCUUACAAAAGUUUGGCAUGAAGAAAGGUAUAUCUAUGACCCCAUAUUAUAGAGUUUAAAAAUGAUGAGCAAGGUAAUUUUAUUGUUUGAAGCUGUAUUACUAUAUCAUACAGCUUGUAGGCCAAAUUGUAUGCUCAUUUUAUGCUUAUAUGCAAAGAUAUCAAACUAAUUCUAAUGAAUCACAUUUAAUUGAUAUCAAAAGACUCAUAAAAAUCUGUUAAGAUAAUAAAACUAAGUACUCCAAUCUUAAGUAAAAGCAAAACAAGCAUAAUAUAUUCAGCACAUUUGUAAGAAUUAUGUGAGCAUUUCUUUGGAAAGGAUAAAAUCUGUAAUAAACUAUAUUUAAACAGGAAGAGUUUGGAGUGAACAUUUUUAAAGGGAACGGUUUAACCUUUCUAUAUUGCUCAUCAUAGGGAUGGUGCCAAUGGGGAGGCUAGUGGUAGUACCCGGCACUAUUUGACCCAACUAUUCGGUGUAGGGCAUAUUAGGGACGGCACAAGAGGAAGGCUAGUGGUAGUACCUCGUGCCUCUUCCAACUCCAUCGGAUAGGUAGCAAAUAGAGUAUAGAGCAUAGAAAAGUAAAACCAAAAAGAAAUGAAGAUCAAAAUGUUCACUGAGUGCUUAAAGGAAGAAAUUCAAAAAUAAGAAAAUGAAUGACAAGAUAAAUGAAAGUAUAUAAGAAGCUUGUGAAAAGCCAAAUGAAGUUUCGAUCACUUGAAAACACACCUUAAGGAUAAAAUCAGUGUAGAAUUAUAUAUAAAUUGGGAGAGUUUAUUUGAAAAGAAUUAAUUUUAAUCGUUGACAUACUUGUUCUUAAUGCUUUAAUGGUAUGCAUACUAUAUUUCGCAUGUAGCAUGAUGUUUUGAAUUGUGAGUUUUCAAUAUUCGAAAAAAAAAAUGGAGGAUUUUGUUCAAAUAUAAUUUGUGAUGCUCUAUGCCUAGAUAAUUUGAUUGAAACAUGUUUCUAUCAACAACAACAUCAUUUUGUUUUAGUGAAUAUCUUUUGAAAAAUAAAAGAAAAGAACAAUCUGAAUUUGCAAAUUAGGCAGAAUGAAUUAAUUCGAAUUUAUCUUCCAUUUUGCCUAACAUUGGUACAUAAUGUUCUGAUACAUGUUAAAAUGUCCUUCAAUUUGUACCAAAACUCAAUAUUAAAAAUAAAGAUUCUGAAUGUGCUCUGAUGUGCUUGAAAUAUGUAUUUUCAGUCUUAAUGACUUAAGAUGAGCUACAAUAUAGAAGAUACAUAUCUCAAAUUAUGAAUUUUGAAAGUCUCCUUGAAAAUUCUUAUGAAAUUCAGAAUAUGACCUAGUAUAAAAGUUUAAACUCCAUAUAAAAUGCUUAUAUCUUUACAUUUUUGUAAUUUCAUUAUAUGCUUCAAUGAUUGCAUCAUUUUGGAGAAUAACUCAAUAUGAUUCCUAGAUGAAAACUACGGUUUAAGAAAAAUAGAAUUAAUUUUGAUGCCUUGAUUGUUUGCUC